AAAACUCAAUAUUAUUAAUCUAGUAUCCUAAUGAUGUUUUUAGCUGAUUUAGUUACAAUUUUCACCCUUUAAUACUUCUUUAAUUUACUGACUAUUCUUAAUUCACGUGGCAAGAGGUUUGAUGGUUGAUAUUUGAAAUUUCAAGUCUAAAUUGUAAUUGAUUUACAUUUCCAGCUAAAUUUAUUUAUAAAAAAAUAAAACAAAGAGAAUAACAUACUAUUUUUUUUUAAAAAAAUACUUAUUUAAUUUU
rnacentral:lncRNA from 1 species